rnacentral:rRNA from 1 species
GACGAACGCUGGCGGCGUGCUUAACACAUGCAAGUCGAACGAAGUGGCGAACGGGUGAGUAACGCGUAAUCAACCUGCCCUUCAGAGGGGGACAACAGUUGGAAACGACUGCUAAUACCGCAUACUGAAGGAGGGGAUUGCGUCGGAUUAGCUGGUUGGAGGGGUAACGGCCCACCAAGGCGAUGAUCAGUAGCCGGGCUGAGGGGAUGAACGGGCAAAUUGGGACGGGGACAAGGCCCAGACUCCUACGGGAGGCAACAGGGGGGAAUCGUCCGCAAUGGACGAAAGUCUGACGGAGCAACGCCGCGGGGGGGAUGACGGCCUUCGGGUUGUAAAGCUCUGUUAAUCGGGACGCGGUACCGGAAUAGAAAGCCACGGCUAACUACGUGCCAGCAGCCGCGGUAAUUC